CGAACGCUUUGUGGUUCAACUGAUUUGAAGAGCUUGCUCAGAUAUGACGAUGGACAUUGCAAAGAGUGGCGAACGGGUGAGUAACACGUGGGAAACCUACCUCUUAGCAGGGGAUAACAUUUGGAAACAGAUGCUAAUACCGUAUAACAAUGACAACCGCAUGGUUGUUAUUUAAAAGAUGGUUCUGCUAUCACUAAGAGAUGGUCCCGCGGUGCAUUAGCUAGUUGGUAAGGUAAUGGCUUACCAAGGCGAUGAUGCAUAGCCGAGUUGAGAGACUGAUCGGCCACAAUGGGACUGAGACACGGCCCAUACUCCUACGGGAGGCAGCAGUAGGGAAUCUUCCACAAUGGGCGAAAGCCUGAUGGAGCAACGCCGCGUGUGUGAUGAAGGGUUUCGGCUCGUAAAACACUGUUGUAAGAGAAGAAUGACAUUGAGAGUAACUGUUCAAUGUGUGACGGUAUCUUACCAGAAAGGAACGGCUAAAUACGUGCCAGCAGCCGCGGUAAUACGUAUGUUCCAAGCGUUAUCCGGAUUUAUUGGGCGUAAAGCGAGCGCAGACGGUUAUUUAAGUCUGAAGUGAAAGCCCUCAGCUCAACUGAGGAAUUGCUUUGGAAACUGGAUGACUUGAGUGCAGUAGAGGAAAGUGGAACUCCAUGUGUAGCGGUGAAAUGCGUAGAUAUAUGGAAGAACACCAGUGGCGAAGGCGGCUUUCUGGACUGUAACUGACGUUGAGGCUCGAAAGUGUGGGUAGCAAACAGGAUUAGAUACCCUGGUAGUCCACACCGUAAACGAUGAGUGCUAGGUGUUUGAGGGUUUCCGCCCUUAAGUGCCGCAGCUAACGCAUUAAGCACUCCGCCUGGGGAGUACGACCGCAAGGUUGAAACUCAAAGGAAUUGACGGGGACCCGCACAAGCGGUGGAGCAUGUGGUUUAAUUCGAAGCAACGCGAAGAACCUUACCAGGUCUUGACAUCCCUUGACAACUCCAGAGAUGGAGCGUUCCCUUCGGGGACAAGGUGACAGGUGGUGCAUGGUUGUCGUCAGCUCGUGUCGUGAGAUGUUGGGUUAAGUCCCGCAACGAGCGCAACCCUUAUUACUAGUUGCCAGCAUUCAGUUGGGCACUCUAGUGAGACUGCCGGUGACAAACCGGAGGAAGGUGGGGAUGACGUCAAAUCAUCAUGCCCCUUAUGACCUGGGCUACACACGUGCUACAAUGGCGUAUACAACGAGUUGCCAACCCGCGAGGGUGAGCUAAUCUCUUAAAGUACGUCUCAGUUCGGAUUGUAGGCUGCAACUCGCCUACAUGAAGUCGGAAUCGCUAGUAAUCGCGGAUCAGCACGCCGCGGUGAAUACGUUCCCGGGUCUUGUACACACCGCCCGUCACACCAUGAGAGUUUGUAACACCCAAAGCCGGUGGGGUAACCUUCGGGAGCCAGCCGUCU
rnacentral:rRNA from 1 species